rnacentral:rRNA from 1 species
UUAGGAAUCUUGGACAAUGGGCGCAAGCCUGAUCCAGCCAUGCCGCGUGAGUGAUGAAGGCCUUCGGGUUGUAAAGCUCUUUAGUCCACGAAUAUAAUGACUGUAGUGGAAGAAUAAGCCCCGGCUAACUUCGUGCCAGCAGCCGCGGUAAUACGAAGGGGGCGAGCGUUGUUCGGAAUCACUGGGCGUAAAGAGUGCGUAGGCGGCGAUAAAAGUUAGAAGUGAAAGCCCAGGGCUCAACCUUGGAAUUGCUUUUAAAACUAUAUUGCUCGAAUUUGGGAGAGGAGAGCGGAAUUGUCAGUGUAGCAGUGAAAUGCGUAGAUAUUGACAGGAACACCAGUGGCGUAAGCGGCUCUCUGGACCAACAUUGACGCUGAGGCACGAAAGCGUGGGGAUCAAACAGGAUUAGAUACCCUGGUAGUCCACGCUGUAAACGAUGUGUGUUUGUCGCUGGGGAGUUUACUCUUCGGUGACGGAGCUAACGCGUUAAGCACACCGCCUGGGAAGUACGGUCGCAAGA